rnacentral:rRNA from 1 species
GACGGAGGGUGCUAGCGUUGUUCGGAAUCACUGGGCGUAAAGGGCGCGUAGGCGGCUUUGGCAGUCGGCUCGUGAAAGCCCGGGGCUCAACCCCGGAGGUGCGGCCGAUACACCAAGGCUGGAGGCCGGAAGAGGAGGGUGGAAUACCCAGUGUAGAGGUGAAAUUCGUAGAUAUUGGGUGGAACACCGGUGGCGAAAGCGGCUCUCUGGUCCGGACCUGACGCUGAGGCGCGAAAGCGUGGGGAGCAAACAGG